rnacentral:tRNA from 2 species
GGGGCGUUAGCUCAGUGGUAGAGCAGUUGGCUUUUAACCAAUUGGUCAUAGGUUCAAAUCCUAUACGCCCCACCA